rnacentral:rRNA from 1 species
AUAAUGGGUCAGCGACUUAUAUUCUGUAGCAAGGUUAACCGAAUAGGGGAGCCGAAGGGAAACCGAGUCUUAACUGGGCGUUAAGUUGCAGGGUAUAGACCCGAAACCCGGUGAUCUAGCCAUGGGCAGGUUGAAGGUUGGGUAACACUAACUGGAGGACCGAACCGACUAAUGUUGAAAAAUUAGCGGAUGACUUGUGGCUGGGGGUGAAAGGCCAAUCAAACCGGGAGAUAGCUGGUUCUCCCCGAAAGCUAUUUAGGUAGCGCCUCGUGAAUUCAUCUCCGGGGGUAGAGCACUGUUUCGGCAAGGGGGUCAUCCCGACUUACCAACCCGAUGCAAACUGCGAAUACCGGAGAAUGUUAUCACGGGAGACACACGGCGGGUGCUAACGUCCGUCGUGAAGAGGGAAACAACCCAGACCGCCAGCUAAGGUCCCAAAGUCAUGGUUAAGUGGGAAACGAUGUGGGAAGGCCCAGACAGCCAGGAUGUUGGCUUAGAAGCAGCCAUCAUUUAAAGAAAGCGUAAUAGCUCACUGGUCGAGUCGGCCUGCGCGGAAGAUGUAACGGGGCUAAACCAUGCACCGAAGCUGCGGCAGCGACGCUUAUGCGUUGUUGGGUAGGGGAGCGUUCUGUAAGCCUGUGAAGGUGUGCUGUGAGGCAUGCUGGAGGUAUCAGAAGUGCGAAUGCUGACAUAAGUAACGAUAAAGCGGGUGAAAAGCCCGCUCGCCGGAAGACCAAGGGUUCCUGUCCAACGUUAAUCGGGGCAGGGUGAGUCGACCCCUAAGGCGAGGCCGAAAGGCGUAGUCGAUGGGAAACAGGUUAAUAUUCCUGUACUUGGUGUUACUGCGAAGGGGGGACGGAGAAGGCUAUGUUGGCC